CCGAGUUACAACUCCCAAACCCAAUGUGAACGUUACCAAACUGUUGCCUCGGCGGGAUCUCUGCCCCGGGUGCGUCGCAGCCCCGGACCAAGGCGCCCGCCGGAGGACCAACCAAAACUCUUAUUGUAUACCCCCUCGCGGGUUUUUUACUAUCUGAGCCAUCUCGGCGCCCCUCGUGGGCGUUUCGAAAAUGAAUCA
rnacentral:misc_RNA from 1 species